AAAAAAAUUUUUUUUUAUAAGAAUUUAAAGAUCAAUUAUCAAAAAGUUGUUGUUUUAAUAGCAGAACAUUUGAAAGUUGAAAUAGUAAUAAAAAUGUUAAAAUGCAACCCUAUUCAUUACUCCUGUGAAAGAAUUUCAUGAAUGUACCUGUUGUCAAGAAAUAAAGCUGGAAAGUGGUAACUAUUAAAUCAAUACCCUUUUUAAAUAAGUACCUGGUACAGGAUAAAUUUAUUGCAAUGAUCUUUAUUUCUAGUGAAACAUCAUCUAAAGUAGUUAGAAAAAAACCCCAGUAAUAUCUAUGGAUGUCUUUCAUAUCAACAGAAAUGUGAAGAUAACAAGAGAGAGAGAGAGAGAGAGAGAGAGAACACGUACAGCAAAUAUUUUAUAAUGGAACAUGCUCAUUUGAUUUUGACAUUGAUACAUUACUGUCAUUUUAUGGUAAGAAUCAAUCUUCCAAUUAUUUAUGGUAUAGUACAUUGUAGAUGAUUUGAUAUUACUGGACGUUUUGUUUCCUUGGAAUCUUGCAUAAAAAUUGAUCACCUUAUUUUUGUCAACUCAUAAACACCAUAGUGUUAUAUAAUCAUCAUCUACUUAUAAUUGCUAAUUAUACUCAUAUUUUCAACAGCAAAAAAUAUACAUACAUGACAUAUUCAACCAAAUCAAUUGUGUGCUAUAUAAUGUCUUGUAUUUUUUCCACGGAAAAUAUGUUGCUGUAAGUCAGAAUAAAUUUUGUAUAAAC
rnacentral:misc_RNA from 1 species